rnacentral:tRNA from 1 species
CGCGGCGUAGCUCAGUUGCUGGAGCAUUGGGCUAGUAUUCCAAAGGUCGUAUACGUUCGAUUUCCACCGUGG